AUCCAGCCGACGAGUCCCAAAUAGGACGAAACGCGCGUCCUGGAU
rfam:Schistosoma rodhaini strain Burundi genome assembly, scaffold: SROB_scaffold0000525